AGCAGUCGCCACGGUAAUACAGAGGGUGCGAGCGUUAAUCGGAUUUACUGGGCGUAAAGCGUGCGUAGGCGGCUAAUUGAGUCGGAUGUGAAAUCCCCGAGCUUAACUUGGGAAUUGCAUUCGAUACUGGUUAGCUAGAGUGUGGGAGAGGAUGGUAGAAUUCCAGGUGUAGCGGUGAAAUGCGUAGAGAUCUGGAGGAAUACCGAUGGCGAAGGCAGCCAUCUGGCCUAACACUGACGCUGAGGUACGAAAGCAUGGGGAGCAAACAGGAUUAGAUACCCCGGUAGUCCCUGUCUCUUAUAC
rnacentral:rRNA from 1 species